rnacentral:tRNA from 1 species
UGCGGGGUAGAGCAGCCCGGUAGCUCGUCAGGCUCAUAACCUGAAGGCCGCAGGUUCAAAUCCUGCCCCCGCUACCA